rnacentral:rRNA from 1 species
GUGGGGAAUCUUAGACAAUGGGGGAAACCCUGAUCUAGCCAUGCCGCGUGAGCGAUGAAGGCCUUAGGGUUGUAAAGCUCUUUCAGCUGGGAAGAUAAUGACGGUACCAGCAGAAGAAGCCCCGGCUAACUCCGUGCCAGCAGCCGCGGUAAUACGGAGGGGGCUAGCGUUGUUCGGACUUACUGGGCGUAAAGCGCACGUAGGCGGAUCAGAAAGUCAGAGGUGAAAUACCAGGGCACAACCUUGGAACUGCCUUUGAAACUCCUGGUCUUGAGGUCGAGAGAGGUGAGUGGAAGUCCGAGUGUAGGGGUUAAAUUCGUAGAUAUUCGUAGGAACACCAGUGGCGAAGGCGGCUCACUGUCUCGAUACUGACGCUGAGGUGCGAAAGCGUGGGGAGCAAACAGGAUUAGAUACCCGUGUAGUCC